GACGAACGCUGGCGGCGUGCUUAACACAUGCAAGUCGAACGGAAAGGCCCUGCUUUUGUGGGGUGCUCGAGUGGCGAACGGGUGAGUAACACGUGAGUAACCUGCCCUUGACUUUGGGAUAACUUCAGGAAACUGGGGCUAAUACCGGAUAGGAGCUCCUGCUGCAUGGUGGGGGUUGGAAAGUUUCGGCGGUUGGGGAUGGACUCGCGGCUUAUCAGCUUGUUGGUGGGGUAGUGGCUUACCAAGGCUUUGACGGGUAGCCGGCCUGAGAGGGUGACCGGCCACAGUGGGACUGAGAUAGGGCCCAGACUCCAACGGGAGGCAGGAGUGGGAAAUAUUGCACAAUGGGCGGAAGGCUGAUGCAGCAACGCCGCGUGCGGGAUGACGGCCUUCGGGUUGUAAACCGCUUUCGCCUGUGACGAAGCGUGAGUGACGGUAAUGGGUAAAGAAGCACCGGCUAACUACGUG
rnacentral:rRNA from 1 species